GGAUUCCUCAUCCCACCUCCAGCUCUCUCCUCUCUCUGGUUUUCAGAACUAUGAUAAAGCUUUUUAAAAUAAAGGACCAGAAGAGGGAAGAUGCUGGCAAUGCUGCUGGAAGAGGUCCUAUAAAGAAGCAAAGUCCAGGGGAAUUGCGUGUUCAAAAAGAUAUUGGUGAGUUGAACCUACCUAAAACUACUACCAUAACAUUUCCCAAUGGCAAGGAUGAUCUUAUGAACUUUGAAAUCAGCAUUCGGCCCGAUGAAGGAUAUUAUCUAGGUGGCACAUUUACUUUUACUUUUCAAGUCUCCCCUUCCUAUCCUCACGAGCCACCUAAGGUGAAGUGCAAGACAAAGGUUUAUCAUCCUAAUAUUGACUUGGAGGGAAAUGUCUGUCUGAACAUUCUGCGGGAGGAUUGGAAGCCCGUACUCAACAUAAACACCAUUGUCUAUGGCUUGAAUCUCCUUUUCUUGCAACCCAAUGACGAAGAUCCCUUGAACCACGAUGCAGCUGCAGUUCUACGUGACAACCCGAGGUUGUUCGAGACGAAUGUAAAAAGAGCAAUGGCUGGAGGGUAUGUGGGUCAGACCUACUUCACCCGAUGCUUGUAGAUAUGCUGGAGGAAAAUGAAAUGCACCUUCCAUUGAAUUUGUAAUGUUGGCUCGGGUCCUGUAAAUUAUGCCCUCAUUAUUGCUCCAACUCUUUCGGGGUACAAACUUUCCCUGGAUAUGGACACUCUGCAAUUUGGUAAGUGUUGCAAGAACUGUUCUUCCUUUUUCUGUUGUAAUUUGUAUAACUUAUUGGUGUGUAACUUGUGAGUUUGUUUCUUAGUGUUUAUGUGAGUUGGGCUUGGCAUGCAAAUGUAAUCAUGUUUACAGAUUUGUUCCGACUAUCAUUUCCA
rnacentral:misc_RNA from 1 species